GUGCUUGCUUUGUCAGCACAUAUACUAGAACUGGAAUGAUACAGAGAAGAUUCGCAUGGCCGCUGUGUAAGAAUGACACUCGAAUUUGUGAAGUGUUCCAUAUUUUU
rfam:Xenopus laevis strain J chromosome 2S, whole genome shotgun sequence.